rnacentral:rRNA from 1 species
UACGGAGGGUGCAAGCGUUAUCCGGAUUCACUGGGGUUAAAGGGAGCGUAGGUGGCUUUGUAAGUCAGUGGUGAAAUCUUAGAGCUUAACUCUAAAACUGCCAUUGAUACUGCUUAGCUUGAAUCACGUCGAGGUGGAUGGAAUAUUACAUGUAGCGGUGAAAUGCUUAGAUAUGUAAUAGAACACCGAUUGCGAAGGCAGUUCACUAGGCGUGUAUUGACACUGAGGCUCGAAAGCGUGGGGAUCAAACAGG